rnacentral:rRNA from 1 species
AUUGAACGCUGGCGGCAGGCCUAACACAUGCAAGUCGAACGGUAACAGGAAGACGCUUGCUUCUUUGCUGACGAGUGGCGGACGGGUGAGUAAUGUCUGGGAAACUGCCUGAUGGAGGGGGAUAACUACUGGAAACGGUAGCUAAUACCGCAUAACGUCGCAAGACAAAAGAGGGGGACCUUCGGGCCUCUUGCCAUCGGAUGUGCCCAGAUGGGAUUAGCUAGUAGGUGGGGUAACGGCUCACCUAGGCGACGAUCCCUAGCUGGUCUGAGAGGAUGACCAGCCACACUGGAACUGGGACACGGUCCAGACUCCUACGGGAGGCAGCAGUGGGGAAUAUUGCACAAUGGGCGCAAGCCUGAUGCAGCCAUGCCGCGUGUAUGAAGAAGGCCUUCGGGUUGUAAAGUACUUUCAGCGGGGAGGAAGGGAGUAAAGUUAAUACCUUUGCUCAUUGACGUUACCCGCAGAAGAAGCACCGGCUAACUCCGUG